AGAGUUUGAUCCUGGCUCAGAACGAACGCUGGCGGCAGGCUUAACACAUGCAAGUCGAGCGCCCCGCAAGGGGAGCGGCAGACGGGUGAGUAACGCGUGGGAAUCUACCCAUCUCUACGGAAUAACGCAUGGAAACGUGUGCUAAUACCGUAUACGUCCUUCGGGAGAAAGAUUUAUCGGAGAUGGAUGAGCCCGCGUUGGAUUAGCUAGUUGGUGGGGUAAAGGCCUACCAAGGCGACGAUCCAUAGCUGGUCUGAGAGGAUGAUCAGCCACACUGGGACUGAGACACGGCCCAGACUCCUACGUGAGGCAGCAGUGGGGAAUAUUGGACAAUGGGCGCAAGCCUGAUCCAGCCAUGCCGCGUGAGUGAUGAAGGCCCUAGGGUUGUAAAGCUCUUUCACCGGUGAAGAUAAUGACGGUAACCGGAGAAGAAGCCCCGGCUAACUUCGUGCCAGCAGCCGCGGUAAUACGAAGGGGGCUAGCGUUGUUCGGAUUUACUGGGCGUAAAGCGCACGUAGGCGGACUAUUAAGUCAGGGGUGAAAUCCCGGGGCUCAACCCCGGAACUGCCUUUGAUACUGGUAGUCUUGAGUUCGAGAGAGGUGAGUGGAAUUCCGAGUGUAGAGGUGAAAUUCGUAGAUAUUCGGGGGAACACCAGUGGCGAAAGCGGCUCACUGGCUCGAUACUGACGCUGAGUGCGAAAGCGUGGGGAGCAAACAGAUUAGAUACCCUGGUAGUCCACGCCGUAAACUAUGAAGCUAGCGUNGNCAGUAUACUGUCGNGNGCAGCAAACGCAUUAGCUCUCCGCCUGGGAGUACGNCGCAGAUUAAAACUCAAAAGANNANNNNNNNGCACAGCGGUGAGCA
rnacentral:rRNA from 1 species